UCACCUCUUUCCAUUCCGAACAGAGCAGUUAAGCCCCACAGUGCUGAUGGUACUGGGUUAACCCCCGGGAGAGUAGGUCGACGCCACAU
rnacentral:rRNA from 1 species